rnacentral:rRNA from 1 species
CUUAACACAUGCAAGUCGAGGGGCAGCAUUUCAGUUUGCUUGCAAACUGGAGAUGGCGACCGGCGCACGGGUGAGUAACACGUAUCCAACCUGCCGAUAACUCGGGGAUAGCCUUUCGAAAGAAAGAUUAAUACCCGAUGGUAUAAUCAGACCGCAUGGUCUUGUUAUUAAAGAAUUUCGGUUAUCGAUGGGGAUGCGUUCCAUUAGGCAGUUGGUGAGGUAACGGCUCACCAAACCUUCGAUGGAUAGGGGUUCUGAGAGGAAGGUCCCCCACAUUGGAACUGAGACACGGUCCAAACUCCUACGGGAGGCAGCAGUGAGGAAUAUUGGUCAAUGGGCGCAGGCCUGAACCAGCCAAGUAGCGUGAAGGAUGACUGCCCUAUGGGUUGUAAACUUCUUUUAUAUGGGAAUAAAGUUUUCCACGUGUGGAAUUUUGUAUGUACCAUAUGAAUAAGGAUCGGCUAACUCCGUGCCAGCAGCCGCGGUAAUACGGAGGAUCCGAGCGUUAUCCGGAUUUAUUGGGUUUAAAGGGAGCGUAGGUGGACAGUUAAGUCAGUUGUGAAAGUUUGCGGCUCAACCGUAAAAUUGCAGUUGAUACUGGCUGUCUUGAGUACAGUAGAGGUGGGCGGAAUUCGUGGUGUAGCGGUGAAAUGCUUAGAUAUCACGAAGAACUCCGAUUGCGAAGGCAGCUCACUGGACUGCAACUGACACUGAUGCUCGAAAGUGUGGGUAUCAAACAGGAUUAGAUACCCUGGUAGUCCACACAGUAAACGAUGAAUACUCGCUGUUUGCGAUAUACAGUAAGCGGCCAAGCGAAAGCAUUAAGUAUUCCACCUGGGGAGUACGCCGGCAACGGUGAAACUCAAAGGAAUUGACGGGGGCCCGCACAAGCGGAGGAACAUGUGGUUUAAUUCGAUGAUACGCGAGGAACCUUACCCGGGCUUAAAUUGCAUUUGAAUAUAUUGGAAACAGUAUAGCCGUAAGGCAAAUGUGAAGGUGCUGCAUGGUUGUCGUCAGCUCGUGCCGUGAGGUGUCGGCUUAAGUGCCAUAACGAGCGCAACCCUUAUCUUUAGUUACUAACAGGUCAUGCUGAGGACUCUAGAGAGACUGCCGUCGUAAGAUGUGAGGAAGGUGGGGAUGACGUCAAAUCAGCACGGCCCUUACGUCCGGGGCUACACACGUGUUACAAUGGGGGGUACAGAAGGCAGCUACCUGGUGACAGGAUGCUAAUCCCAAAAGCCUCUCUCAGUUCGGAUCGAAGUCUGCAACCCGACUUCGUGAAGCUGGAUUCGCUAGUAAUCGCGCAUCAGCCAUGGCGCGGUGAAUACGUUCCCGGGCCUUGUACACACCGCCCGUCAAGCCAUGAAAGCCGGGGGUACCUGAAGUACGUAACCGCAAGGAGCGUCCUAGGGUAAAACUGGUAAUUGGGGCUAA